CCUACGGGAGGCAGCAGCAGGGAAUCUUGGGCAAUGGGCGCAAGCCUGACCCAGCGACGUCGCGUGGGGGACGAGGGCCUUCGGGUUGUAAACCCCUUUUCUGUGGGAAGAGAUAGGACGGUACCACAGGAAUAAGCAUCGGCUAACUACGUGCCAGCAGCCGCGGUAAUACGUAGGAUGCAAGCGUUGUCCGGAUUUACUGGGCGUAAAGGGUGUGUAGGCGGCAUGUUAAGUCUCAUGUGAAAUCUCCCGGCUCAACUGGGAGGGGUCAUGGGAAACUGGCAAGCUGGAGGGCAGCAGAGGAAAGCGGAAUUCCGGGAGUAGUGGUGGAAUGCGUAGAUACCCGGAGGAACACCAGAGGCGAAGGCGGCUUUCUGGGCUGUACCUGACGCUGAGACACGAAAGCGUGGGGAGCGAACCGGAUUAGAUACCCGGGUAGUCCACGCCCUAAACGAUGGAUACUAGAUAUAGGGGGUAUUGACCCCUCCUGUGUCGGAGUUAACGCGAUAAGUAUCCCGCCUGGGGAGUACGGCCGCAAGGCUAAAACUCAAAGGAAUUGACGG
rnacentral:rRNA from 1 species